rnacentral:lncRNA from 1 species
AGAACAAAAUAAAAGAGAGGUAAUGGGCAGUAGGGAGAGAGAUCUUUCUCAAAGGCAAAGGGGAGGGAGAGAUAGAGGAGGGAGGGAAGGAGCCAGGGGAGGGAGAGGGAUGACAACGGCAGGUUUGUUACGUACAGUCCCUUCGCCACGGGAGGAGCGCAGUCACGAUGCACUGCAGACGUGGACGAAACGUGCAAACAGAGCGUCGCCCGGCAGGACUUUCAGACUUUCAGUUCCGUCCAGGAGGCCCUGUGCCGCUGGGGGGCGCUGUGGGAGUGAGGGCCCUAGAGGCCGGGUGCAGACGGGAGUCCCUGGCCCUGGCCUGAUGGCCACAGUCCCGGUGUCUGUGGGGCCCAGCCGGGCGCCUCCCGCUCUCGGCCAGGCCUGCGGGGCAGAGGCCAGCGGCGUGCAGCGCUCCGGCCGCGCCCCGCCUCCCACCGCCUCUCCUCCGCGUGCCAGGGACCCGGCAUUCAACCCCCGCAGGAGGGCCCGGCUCCUCAGGCUGCGGUCACGGCUUACACCGGCUCCCGGAUGCUCAGUUUCCCCGAACGCAUGUCAGACGAGCACGCAAAACCCGGUGCAAAGAGCUAGAACUGCGUCACAGAAGUGGCUGCCUGCAGUGUGACGCGGGUUCGGGUUCGGGCUGAAGUUCGGGUUCGAGGUCAUCACAGAGCAGCAGCGGCCUGGCGAGUUUUAGUAAAUAGUCACAGGGCGUAGCUCAGAAACGAGGAGUGGCCCGAGCCCCCGUGGCCGCAGGACUGUUUGCGAGACUCGGCCUGUGUUCAGCUGGACCCCUGUCCCUGCCCAGCCACCA